AGAAUUAACGCUGGCGGUGUGCCUAACACAUGCAAGUCGAGCGAGAAAGGUCUUCGGACUAAGUAAAGCGGCAAACGGGUGAGUAACGCGUGAGAAUCUACCUUUUAGUGAGGAAUACCUUCGAGAAAUUGAAGUUAAUACUGCAUAUGACCCUUCGGGGAGAAAGAUGGCCUCUUUGCUGUCGCUAAAAGAUGAGCUUGCGUACUAUUAGCUAGUUGGUGGGUAAAGGCCUACCAAGGCGAUGAUGGUUA
rnacentral:rRNA from 1 species